rnacentral:rRNA from 1 species
UCCCAACCCAAUGUGAACGUUACCAAACUGUUGCCUCGGCGGGAUCUCUGCCCCGGGUGCGUCGCAGCCCCGGACCAAGGCGCCCGCCGGAGGACCAACCAAAACUCUUAUUGUAUACCCCCUCGCGGGUUUUUUUUAUAAUCUGAGCCUUCUCGGCGCCUCUCGUAGGCGUUUCGAAAAUGAAUCAAAACUUUCAACAACGGAUCUCUUGGUUCUGGCAUCGAUGAAGAACGCAGCGAAAUGCGAUAAGUAAUGUGAAUUGCAGAAUUCAGUGAAUCAUCGAAUCUUUGAACGCACAUUGCGCCCGCCAGUAUUCUGGCGGGCAUGCCUGUCCGAGCGUCAUUUCAACCCUCGAACCCCUCCGGGGGGUCGGCGUUGGGGAUCGGCCCUGCCUUGGCGGUGGCCGUCUCCGAAAUACAGUGGCGGUCUCGCCGCAGCCUCUCCUGCGCAGUAGUUUGCACACUCGCAUCGGGAGCGCGGCGCGUCCACAGCCGUUAAACACCCAACUUCUGAAAUGUUGACCUCGGAUCAGGUAGGAAUACCCGCUGAACUUAAGCAUAUA